GUGCAAACUCGAUCACUGGCUCUGCAUGAUGUUGCAGAGGCGAGGGGAACCAGGUUUGCUAAAGCAACCGUGGUGACGGAAAUGCACUAGCCUCGGGAGCUACCCAGGGGCCCGUUCUGUCCCAGUACAUGG
ensembl:snoRNA SNORA66 Small nucleolar RNA SNORA66